AAAACAAGCUUCUAAGAGCUUCUGGUACAGGUAAAGAUUCAAUGGUGAUCCAUCUGCCCAAUGGCAAGUAUCAUAACCUGAUCCAUCGGAGGACCUGCAGGCUAGAGACAUUACAGCACUGCGCAGAACUUGCAUUGACUCUGAAUUCUUCCCUGUUUCAAGUGGCCUCUCUGAAGCGCCGCGUAUGAUUUGUCGAAGUCGUUGUGAUGCAGGGUCAG
rnacentral:misc_RNA from 1 species